UACGUAGGGUGCGAGCGUUGUCCGGAAUUACUGGGCGUAAAGAGCUCGUAGGUGGUUUGUCGCGUUGUUCGUGAAAACCGGGGGCUUAACCCUCGGCGUGCGGGCGAUACGGGCAGACCGGAGUACUGCAGGGGAGACUGGAAUUCCUGGUGUAGCGGUGGAAUGCGCAGAUAUCAGGAGGAACACCGGUGGCGAAGGCGGGUCUCUGGGCAGUAACUGACGCUGAGGAGCGAAAGCGUGGGGAGCGAACAGG
rnacentral:rRNA from 1 species